rnacentral:misc_RNA from 1 species
AAACAGGCUAACGUCAGCCAAAGGAAAAACUCAAAGAACAAAAUGCUUGCCAAGCUCCUGAUCGCUCUAUCCGUCCUUUAUCUGGCCGCUCUCCUAGCGGAGGCCGCCAUCCCCAGACCUGGAUCCUUCGCUAGCCAGUUCCUGACCCAGAGUCUCAAACGCCGAGGAGGGCGGGGUCGCAAACCUGUUACCCCAAAACAGUGCGAGGCCUCUGGUCACGCCGCCAUCGUUAAACCCGAGGACUUUAUCACUCCAGGCUGGAACCCUCAACAAGAGAGAAGAGUAAUGGAGAAUGUCCGUCAAAACCUAGAGGAGUGGAAUCGUAUGAUGGCCUUCAACCAGUACUACGACCCCCUGGACUACAGUGAAUACGGGUAAGUCAAUCUCACACCCGGCCUCCGCUUCAACCAGACCUCGUCACAGCUUUCUAUAUGCAGGCUUUCAAAAUUUGUCUGAUGAUAAAACAUAUAAUGUCUUUAUUUGAAACAUAGAUUUUAUCUUAAGAAAUUUUUAAAAAAAAAAAUCCAAUUGUUUGUUUACAUAAUAACGUCUUUUCGUGAUGAAACUUUAGUUAUAUCCAUUUUUUUUAAUCUCCAGUUAUUACAAGAAAGGCGAAUACGAAUUCGGAUGCAAGGACGUCUGUAUUCAGAAAAGAACUCCCGUUCUAGGCGCUUACUUGACUAUUGAGGACCAUAACGGUAUGAACGGGACGUACCCUUGCUACGUGGCCCCCUCCCAGAAACUGUGGUACACCACCUGUGGACAAAAGCUGCCCCAAAUGACCGUCAGCAUGAGCGCCUCCUACCAAUGUCUUCCCGACAUGAUCCAGGAGAGAGAGGUUGUCAUGUACUGUCCCGACAUCGUGCCUCAGUGCCGAACCAGAACCUUCGCCCUGCCCCAGGCCUGCGUCCUUCAAGAGGUCAAGUGUAUCAGCACCAUUCCCAGGAGAUCUUUAGGGUAGACAGACAGUCUCCCAGUAAUAACUCAAAUAUUGAGUCAUCUAUUCGGACUUUUAUUUAGGCUUUGAAAAUUUUCAUUCUUUUUAUUACAAACCUCUCUAUCUUUGGAUUCUUUAGAUUUUCUGAAUUUAUUUUAAAUUUUGAUUUUAUUUACUUUUUCUGCAUUUUUAAUUGUGUCCAGAAUUUAGAAAAACAAACAAUCCUACUGAAGAGACACGCUAAAAAAUGAUGACCCUUCAAUUGUUUAACCAUGUGUAGAAAUAUCUCAAUGAUUUGUGAUAUACAUGUAUAUUUAUCGCUGACCACGGUAUCGAUCAAUCGAUACAUCGGAGUCAAAAUCGAAAUAUCGGUAACAACAUCGAUAUGUUAAUAUCUGUGAUAGUAGGGACUUCAAAUACCUGUUUAUUUCUGUUGCUAUAUGUUCUUUUUUUAUAAUUUUUUUUGUGUUUGUUGUUAUUGAGGUAGAAUCCAUGACCACCAAAUACUUGUGUUGAUUGGAGCUCGGGCGAUUCUACCUUAAACUCGUAAAAUCCAAAAGUUGCCAAACUCAUCACCUUAAUUGUAUGCCUCAUUCUUCAUUAUUUGUGUUAUAAAUGUGUAUGCAUGUGCCCGGUAUGAGCGAACGAUUUUAAUGUGCAAUAUUUUUUCUGUGCAAUAAAUAUUUUGCCU